GAAGCGCUCCAGACCGCCGCUGGUGCUGGUCCCGAAAGGGCGCACUGGAGGAAGGUCCGGACUGCACAGAGCAGCGUAGUGGGUAACACCCAUCCCUCGUGAGGGGCGGAUCAGAGCAACAGAGACGAGUCGGUGCGGGCAAAGAGGAAGCGGUGCAAGCUGCGACCCACUUGACCGCCGCCCCGGGCGACCGGGGCGCGGGGGCGCUGGUGAAAGCCAGCGGUUCGCACCGGGUGCAACGGGCAAUCUCUACGCGCAGCAACACCAAGUAGGCCGGCGUUGACGUGGCUCGCGGAGCCGGCGGGUAGGUGGCAUCGAGCCGGGGUGUGAGCCCCGGCCCAGAGGAAUGGCGGUCACCGGCCUCGAAAGAGGGCGGACACAGAAUCCGGCCUAUCGGGGCGCUUCACGA
rnacentral:RNase_P_RNA from 1 species